AUUUUCAAAUCAUACAUCACUGUCGUCUUCAUCUGCCUCUCUUCUGCUCUAUCUCCCGCUCUCUUUCUGUGUUGUUGAACCAAAGGAUUUUCUUUUGAAUUUCGCUAAUGCAAUUGGCGAAGCCAAAUAUAUGAAUAUUCUGCAAGAUGUUGAAAAUCAUAAGAUACAUGCGGUUAAGAUAGAUCUCGAUAACCUUCUUAAUUAUAAGGAUUUAGAUGAAGAAUUCUUCAGAUGAGUUAUUAAGAAUACUUGUCGAUAUAUUGGGAUUUUUGCUGCUGCAAUUGAUGAAUUGACAUAUUAAUAAUACAAAGAUCUCAAAAUGAGAAUAUGAAUGAGAAUGUUGAUGGUUCUGAUCGUAGCAUAAGAUGCCUGUAGAGAUAAAGUGUUCCUUUGAAGUUUAUAUUAGAGCACCUUCAAAGGGACGACCAUUUACUAUUAGAGAGGUUAAAGCUUCAAAAACUACUUAGUUGCUUGCUUGAUUUGUUGAGGGCUGAGGAUGCAGAAAUUGGAGUUGCAAAUGGAAAUAAAAGAAAUAUGUUAUUUACACAUGUUUAGUGAUGCUUGUACUAAUUUAGAUGUAUAAUUUGAGUUCUAGGAUUGAGAAACUUAUUUAUUUGCCUUGAUUUAAUUCAAUAGCUCUAGUUUGAGUUGGAGCUAUCAUCCUAGUUGUAAUGGAACUCAUUUUCAAUUAAUGACUUCGUCUUUUUCUGUCAA